rnacentral:lncRNA from 1 species
UAUGGUUGUUAACACCUACUUCCUUUGGUUUCUUAUGGAAAUUUGUCCAUUGACAACAAACAUACCACAUCAUCUACUUUAUAUAAGUAUUGUAUAAAAUACAACGUAUUUUGGUGAUCUUGCAAAAUGAUCGUAAUCCCGAAAAUCGUAAACAUAUUUUCUUAUCUUAUAAGGGGGCAAAAAGGGUUCCAUUAACAGGUCAAUAAAUAAGAUUACAGUUAAUUUUAAAAAAAAAAAGAAAAAAAAAGGGUUAUUUUUUCUCUCAUGAUAACAGUAAACAGAUUCACAACAAUGUCAAUUUCAAGAAAGCAGACAAC